GACAGCAGUAGCCGCGGUAAUACGUAGGGUGCGAGCGUUAAUCGGAAUUACUGGGCGUAAAGCGUGCGCAGGCGGUUAUAUAAGACAGAUGUGAAAUCCCCGGGCUCAACCUGGGACCUGCGUUUGUGACUGUAUAGCUAGAGUACGGUAGAGGGGGAUGGAAUUCCGCGUGUAGCAGUGAAGUGCGUAGAUAUGCGGAGGAACACCGAUGGCGAAGGCAAUCCCCUGGACCUGUACUGACGCUCAUGCACGAAAGCGUGGGGAGCAAACAGGAUUAGAUACCCCAGUAGUCCCUGUCUCUUAUAC
rnacentral:rRNA from 1 species